ncrna:unclassified sequences RAGATH-18 RNA
UCUGUGGAGCGUUACAUCAAACCGAAGUAGCUUCGGCAAAACGGGACGCGAUGAAGCAGAAA